UAACGCGUAUCCAACCUUCCGUACACUCAGGGAUAGCCUUUCGAAAGAAAGAUUAAUACCUGAUGGUAUGAUGAGAUUGCAUGAUAGCAUCAUUAAAGAUUUAUCGGUGUACGAUGGGGAUGCGUUCCAUUAGGUAGUAGGCGGGGUAACGGCCCACCUAGCCAACGAUGGAUAGGGGUUCUGAGAGGAAGGUCCCCCACAUUGGAACUGAGACACGGUCCAAACUCCUACGGGAGGCAGCAGUGAGGAAUAUUGGUCAAUGGACGAGAGUCUGAACCAGCCAAGUAGCGUGAAGGAUGAAGGUCCUACGGAUUGUAAACUUCUUUUAUAAGGGAAUAAACCCUCCCACGUGUGGGAGCUUGUAUGUACCUUAUGAAUAAGCAUCGGCUAACUCCGUGCCAGCAGCCGCGGUAAUACGGAGGAUGCGAGCGUUAUCCGGAUUUAUUGGGUUUAAAGGGAGCGCAGACGGGUCGUUAAGUCAGCUGUGAAAGUUUGGGGCUCAACCUUAAAAUUGCAGUUGAUACUGGCGUCCUUGAGUGCGGUUGAGGUGUGCGGAAUUCGUGGUGUAGCGGUGAAAUGCUUAGAUAUCACGAAGAACUCCGAUUGCGAAGGCAGCACACUAAUCCGUAACUGACGUU
rnacentral:rRNA from 1 species